AAAAUAACUAAUAAGUAUUGUUUUAAAUUCUAGAUAGAUAUUGACUUAAACAGAAUAUACUAUAAAAAUUGAAGAAGUGUAUCUAAAACGCAUUAAAAUAUUGGACAAACGGAUACAUAAUAAUGCCAACAUACCAGAUUUAACCAAUAGUUGAUAUUGAUAUAUAAAGUGAAUAUACAGGCAAUACCAAUUUAAAUUCAACUUUUGAAAAAUCAUUCAAUAUUCCGCUUUAUGAUUUGUCGCUAGCAUACCUACGAUUGACCGGCGAGCUUCCUAAUGAAAUGCUCGCCGGAAUUCUCAAAGCCAUCGUCAUCAAACCAUCUUACCCUUUUAUCAGUUUUACCGUCACCUCCGAAAGUUCUUCCUCUUACUCAUGUCGCCAUCUCCAGGUCCGGCACGCACAGCACGCACGGCACUUCGAUCUGCAGCCGGCAGCUUUCUAGUCCGAACUGCCCGGCCGGCCGCCUGCCGGACCCCAGAACGAACACUCGGGCCGGUUUCGCGGACGUGGGCAGCAUUUCCGUGAUGGUGGUCCUCGGGAAAAAGCUGAUUUCCAGACUCCUCCUCUGCCUUGGUCCCGUGCAGGCUGCUGCCGCCGCUGCAUGCCGUAGUAAUCACCGUCGAGCACCAGAGCAUCCUCCUCUCACUCCAUCCAGAGAACUGCCGGCUUGGGUCGGCCGCUUGUUUAGUGCACCUCACGCCGUCGUCGCAGUCCGACGAGAACCCCCGCGGGGGUGGCUGGGUGGCCGCCAGGCGUCCUGGUCCGACAGUCCACCGAAAAAUGUCCUCUCGUCGUCCUCAGUGCAGUAUGUCCACAAGCCGGACAUUCCCUGAUAACCAAAACCAGCGUUUCUACUCGACGGUAAUCGUCCGGUUAAAAAAAAAAAUUUAGAUUAUAGUUAUUAUGUUAUUUAUGUUUUAAAUUAAUAAAGAAA